rnacentral:rRNA from 1 species
GACGUAGGGCGCGAGCGUUGUCCGGAUUUAUUGGGCGUAAAGAGCUCGUAGGCGGUGUGUCACGUCGUUCGUGAAAACCUGCAGCUUAACUGUGGGCGUGCGGUCGAUACGGGCAUCACUGGAGUUCGGCAGGGGAGACUGGAAUUCCUGGUGUAGCGGUGAAAUGCGCAGAUAUCAGGAGGAACACCAGUGGCGAAGGCGACUACCUGGCCUGUUCUUGACGCUGAGGCGCGAAAGCUAGGGGAGCAAACGGG